rnacentral:rRNA from 1 species
CUUUGACGUUAGCGGCGGACGGGUGAGUAACACGUGGGUAACCUACCUAUAAGACUGGGAUAACUUCGGGAAACCGGAGCUAAUACCGGAUAAUAUUUCGAACCGCAUGGUUCGAUAGUGAAAGGUGGUUUUGCUAUCACUUAUAGAUGGACCCGCGCCGUAUUAGCUAGUUGGUAAGGUAACGGCUUACCAAGGCGACGAUACGUAGCCGACCUGAGAGGGUGAUCGGCCACACUGGAACUGAGACACGGUCCAGACUCCUACGGGAGGCAGCAGCG